rnacentral:rRNA from 1 species
CUAAGCCAUGCGAGUCAAAUGUUCUUCGUGAACAUGGCGUACUGCUCAGUAACACGUGGAUAACCUGCCUUAGGACUGGCAUAACCCCGGGAAACUGGGGAUAAUUCCGGAUAGUUCAUGGUAGCUGGAAUGCUCCAUGACCGAAAGCUAUUGCGCCUAAAGAUGGGUCUGCGGUCUAUCAGGUAGUAGUGGGUGUAAUGUACCUACUAGCCGACGACGGAUACGGGUUGUGGGAGCAAGAGCCCGGAGAUGGAUUCUGAGACAUGAAUCCAGGCCCUACGGGGCGCAGCAGGCGCGAAAACUUUACAAUGCGGGAAACCGCGAUAAGGGGACACCGAGUGCCAGCAUCUUAUGUUGGCUGUCCGCAUGUAUAAAUCACAUGUGUUAGCAAGGGCCGGGCAAGACCGGUGCCAGCCGCCGCGGUAACACCGGCGGCCCGAGUGGUGGCCACUAUUAUUGGGUCCAAAGGGUCCGUAGCCGGUUUGGUCAGUCUUCCGGGAAAUCUGACGGCUUAACCGUUAGGCUUUCGGGGGAUACAACCAGGCUUGGGACCGGGAGAGGUAAGAGGUACUACGGGGGUAGGAGUGAAAUCUUGUAAUCCUCGUGGGACCACCAGUGGCGAAGGCGUCUUACCAGAACGGGUCCGACGGUGAGGGACGAAAGCUGGGGGCACGAACCGGAUUAGAUACCCGGGUAGUCCCAGCCGUAAACUAUGCUCGCUAGGUGUCAGGGACGGUGCGACCGUUUCUGGUGCCGCAGGGAAGCCGUGAAGCGAGCCACCUGGGAAGUACGGUCACAAGGCUGAGACUUAAAGGAAUUGGCGGGGGAGCACUACAACGGGUGGAGUCUGCGGUUUAAUUGGACUCAACGCCGGAAAACUCACCGGGGGCGACAGCAAUAUGUAGG